rnacentral:rRNA from 1 species
UACGUAGGGUGCGAGCGUUAGUCGGAAUUACUGGGCGUAAAGCGUGCGUAGGCGGUUCGUUAAGUUCGUUGUGAAAGCCCCGGGCUCAACCUGGGAAUGGCAAUGGAAACUGGCGGGCUGGAGUAUGGCAGAGGGGGGUGGAAUUCCGCGUGUAGCAGUGAAAUGCGUAGAGAUGUGGAGGAAUACCGAUGGCGAAGGCAGCCCCCUGGGAUAACACUGACGCUCAUGCACGAAAGCGUGGGGAGCAAACAGG